CAUGCUAGACGAGUUUGAUAUGGCUCAGAUUGAACGCUGGCGGCAGGCUUAACACAUGCAAGUCGAGCGGAGACUUCGGUCUUAGCGGCGAACGGGUGAGUAAUACCUAGGAAUCUGCCUAUUAGUGGGGGAUAACGAAUCGAAAGGUUCGCUAAUACCGCAUACGUCCUGAGGGAGAAAGCGGGGGAUCGCAAGACCUCGCGCGAUUGGAGCGGCCGAUAUCGGAUUAGCUAGUUGGUGGGGUAAAGGCUCACCAAGGCGACGAUCCGUAGCGGGUCUGAGAGGACGACCCGCCACACUGGAACUGAGACACGGUCCAGACUCCUACGGGAGGCAGCAGGUGGGGUAAUUUUGGACAAUGGGGGCAACCCUGAUCCAGCCAUUCCGCGUGAGUGAAGAAGGCCUUCGGGUUGUAAAGCUCUUUCAGCAGGAACGAAACGGUGGUCCCUAAUACGGACUACUAAUGACGGUACCUGAAGAAGAAGCACCGGCUAACUACGUG
rnacentral:rRNA from 1 species